AUGGGUGAACACCUCGCGCUGCUGGUGGACCGGCUGCUCACGGAGUCCACGCUGGAGGCGGCCAUCGUGAGCAGGAAGCAGCCGGCCGCGGACGACACGCCGGCGGCGAUCGUCUACUGCUGUGACAUCGCCGCCGCUGGCGGCGACCCGAGCAAGAUGGUGGAGUGCAGGAUCUGCCAGGAGGAGGACUGGGACACCGGCAUGGAGGCCCCCUGCGCCUGCCGCGGCAGCCUCAAGUAUGCCCAUCGAAAAUGCAUCCAGCGUUGGUGCAAUGAGAAGGGCGACACCAUCUGCGAAAUAUGCUUGCAGCAAUUCAGGCCAGGCUACACUGCCCCACAGCAGCUGUUCCACUAUGGAAGCAUACCAAUGAACUUCAGGGGGAACUGGGAGGUCGCGCGGCACGAUCUCCACGACUCUCAGGUCAUAACAAUGGUGCCCUCGGAGCGCGAUUUCAUGGACGAGUACGACGACUACUUUCCGGUCAGGACAAGGAGCAGCGCCCUGUGUUGCCGGACAGUCGCUAUCAUUUUCCUGGCCCUCCUGGUUCUCCGGCACACUCUUCCUCUCAUGGUCGGCGGCGACGGGGAGUACUCGUUUGCUCUGUUUUUGCUUCUUGUGCUGAGGACAGCUGGGAUUCUGUUCCCAAUCUUGGUGAUGGUGAGAGCAAUGGCAACCUUCCAUCGUCGUCGUCGCCAACAGGGAAACCAGGGAACUUACAUGUUCUUCUCGGACACCGAGGAUGAGGACGAUGACGACGAGGUGGAAGAAGAGGAUGCCGACGCCGAUCCUGCGCCGCCUCACUACCAACCACGCCUUAUCCCCGUCUACUGA
rnacentral:rRNA from 1 species